UCCAAUUUGUACAGCCUUUUAUUUCAUUUUGGUUUACAGAUUUAAAAAAAAAAUAGCUAGAGAUAUGAAACAUGAUAGUUUACUCAUGUAUCUGACACAAAGCAGAUUUGUUACCAUGACAUUUAAAUGACAAUGACAAUGAUAUGCCAUACCAAGGUGACAUUAGACGGUGACAAAAAUAAAAUGUGACAAUGUGGAGGGAAAGUUGACACAGAUAUAUCAAACUUCAUUUGGUCAAGAUGUGUUUAAACACUUUUAUUGCAAAAUAAUAAACAAUGAAUAUUUAUGCCACACCUAAAACUGAUGGUCUGGUAAUAUUAGUUGUCUUACUAGUAAAUAAAAACAACAACAAAACACAUUACACUUGUCCUCAUUUAAAACAACAAAAUACACAUACUAGCCAGAUUUUAUCAAAGCUUAAGACUGAUUAGAUAGGAGCAGGACAACAAUUAAUUUAUAAUAUCAGAAUAUAUAUA